rnacentral:lncRNA from 1 species
AAAGUUCGUGGUCCUCUGUAACCAAAUUGCCUCUCUAUUUAAUUGAGAUAACGACCAAUGCCUAUUCCAUUAUAAAUAGCCAAACUUCUUGUUUAAUUUCUGCAUUUCCAAACUUUACUCUUGCACCUAAAAGAGAAAGAUACUUGCAAGAAAUCACAAAGGUUGUCGUUAAAUCCAAUUAGCUCGUGUAACUAUCAAUAACUUUGAAAGAAAGAUGAAGAAUGUUAUGAAGGUUGUGUUUGUACUUUCAAUCAUCAUGUGCAUCCUCCUAACACCUACCAAUGCUAGGAGGGGUGCUAGCAGCGGCAGUGGAAGACCUGCAACCACUACCCGCGCUGCGGGUCGCGCCAGCAACAACUCAUCAUCAUCCACCCCUUUGUGCAUGUCUUCUAUAGCUAUGGCUCUGUUUGCUUACCUUUCAUUUGUCUACUUUUGAUAUUUAAAUAUCGGGCAAGGGUUUCAGAAUUUAGCUUUUACGGGUUGAGUUGUGAGUGUGCAUUCUAAAAUGUAUAUGUAAUUCUAUCGUUCUACAAUUGUUUUUCGCUAUAUGCACGUUGGAGUUUGAUGACGAGUCACGGGUUUGUACGGAACCAGAGAACCAGUGGUUAGAUCUUAAACUGUUAAUAUAAAUUUGUAUAAAAUGCAUUUGUUAUUCUUUAUAAAUUUGUGGGAAAAAGAAUAUAUUAUUGCCUGGAGUACUGAGGCCAUGCUAUAAUGUAAUCUAUUGAAAAUUUCUUGUCAUGUGAAUUGUGAUUGACUAUCUGUUGCUAGAAUUAUGAAGCUUAGUUUGGAAUUGUGAUGCCUAUAUCCUCAUCGACGUUUACCUCAUUUUGAACCCCGCGAAUAUGAUCAAUGGCACAUUUCAGAGCAUUACUGUGAGAAUUUACUAAUCCCACCACACGUAUUAGGAACUUAGUUCCUAAAAUUGCAGUAAACAAUAAGUAGUAGAAUAAAGUGCAACACAACCAACACGUAGGAUAUCCACUAAGUAAAAUAUGCACGUGAUGCAAAUAAAGUGGAGCCUAAUAGGAAUAAUCAUAUCUAAGUUUCAGUUCAACUAGGUUUAACUUAAUGGAAAAAGGUGUCUAGACUGGCUAUAAAACGAGCAGACAACUCGAGUAGGAUAGGGACAACUUUACCGGUAGCAGGG